AUUGAACGCUGGCGGCAUGCCUUACACAUGCAAGUCGAACGGCAGCACGGGGCAACCUGGUGGCGAGUGGCGAACGGGUGAGUAAUGCAUCGGAACGUACCUUUCAGUGGGGGAUAACGUAGCGAAAGUUACGCUAAUACCGCAUAUUCUGUGAGCAGGAAAGCAGGGGAUCGCAGGACCUUGCGCUGAUUGAGCGGCCGAUGUCAGAUUAGCUAGUUGGUGAGGUAAAGGCCCACCAAGGCGACGAUCUGUAGCGGGUCUGAGAGGAUGAUCCGCCACACUGGAACUGAGACACGGUCCAGACUCCUACGGGAGGCAGCAGUGGGGAAUUUUGGACAAUGGGGGCAACCCUGAUCCAGCCAUGCCGCGUGAGUGAAGAAGGCCUUCGGGUUGUAAAGCUCUUUCGGCCGGGAAGAAAUCGCACGGGCUAAUACCCUGUGUGGAUGACGGUACCGGAAUAAGAAGCACCGGCUAACUACGUGCCAGCCGCCGCCGUAAAAC
rnacentral:rRNA from 1 species